rnacentral:lncRNA from 1 species
ACAUUGUUCCCUGUGGAUUCGACCCCGACUCCAAAAGUUAGGUAAAUAUAUUGAUGAUGACCGCCUUGCACUAAAUUGACGUGUAAGUUGAGCGUUAUCAUUUACACAACCAAAACCCUGGGCUAUGUCGUACGAGCACCCUAAGCUCACAUGAAUCGGAGGUUACCUCAAUAACCCAACCCAAACAUCUUAUCAUACAAUAAGAGUCAAAUGAACUCUAACUCACAAUUUAAAUUGUGGAAAUAAUAUCAUAAGUCAACUUAGAUUCAUGAUAACUAACUCAGACCCAAGUUCACAGUUGUUCACAAUACCUCUAUACAAAACCAAAGUCAACAAAUGAAUAUGUCGGGACAAGCCCCCAACAAUAGACAAACCAAGUCUUAAAGAGACCAAGUUUGAAGAUAAGACACCAAGCGGUACAUGUCUUUUGAAGUAAGGAAGAUCACCACUUCAAGUCAAUGCAUGAACCGCUUCAAUCUACUAAUAACUGCAUAGGAAGAGAAAAAGAUGCUCCAGCCCCUAUGUCAUAUGGGGACAUAGUAUUCGAAGAUGGUUAGCGGUUGGAACACUAGUAUGUAACUCAAGGAUAAGUGAUAAAAUAUUAACAUUAAUCAACAUCAAGUCAAUGUAUCACAUUUAAUCUCAUUCACACACAAAUCCAUACAUAUAGGUAUAUCACAUGCUAAUCAAGAUAUCAAAGCUCAUCAUUAUUCUCAAACAUUCAUUCAUUAGACAUGAAGUGGGGGACUCCGCCCGCCACACUUAUAGGUUCAACCGUUCACAUUAUGCAUAGGAUUUUAACCACAUUCACGUACACUUAGACAAGGGACUUAAACCACGCUUACUCAUUCAUUAGCCAAGGACUUUAACCGCAUACACAAUUAUUCAAACAAGGGGCACUAGCCAUACACACAUCUAAUUGGACAUAGAACUUCAACUACAUGUCCACACAUUCAACUGGGCAUGGGAAUUUGACCUCAUGCUCACACAUUAGGCAAGGGAAUCUAACCUCAUGCUAUACUUGGACUCUAGCCACAAGCCAUUCCAUUCAUCGAGGUUCUCUAACCUUAGGAGAUCUCUUUAAGCAAGGGACUUUAACCUCAAGCAAUAUCAUUGGGCAAGGGAAUCUAACCUUAAGCCACUCAUAAGGCAAAGGACUUCAACCUUAAGCCAUAACAUAAGGCAAGGGAAUUUGACCUCAAGCCAUUACGACUAUCAUUAGUUGGCAUUUGGGACUUUUACCUUUUGCCCAUGCAUAAACAUACAUUCAAUACAACAUUAAAGACUUUAACGAUUUUAGCCAAUUCAAUACUAUACAUGACCACAUGGUCCUUAUGGGAGCAUUCAUUGCUCAACCACCUCAAUAGGCCAAUGCCUUCACUUAAUUCAAGAUACAAAGCAAGUUAUAGUCAUCAAGACCUUUACAACAAUUCUAUACCACAUUCUCACCGCACUUGGGCUCAACCCAAAAUUUAAGUUCAUCUUUAUAUCUAGGGACUUUAUCCUUUGAUUAGCCAACAACCAAGGUUAUCAAUUUUAUCACACAUGAUUCAUAAUUCCUUUAGCACAUCAUUUAUCAUUAAUCCAUGUUCAAUGGUCCAUUUCCCUAGUUUAAUACAUCAUCAACAUGUGACUAGACAACUCACUUAGAUAUUUUCACAAAUACCUUGGGUGCAUACCUUUAACAAGGCCAUUGCCAUGGUAUAGAUUAUCAAGAUUAGGGUUACUCAAGACCCUUAUGUUAAUCCACAUACAAAAAUCACCCACACAUGCAAUACAUCAUCAAUAUUACAUAUAAACAUAAGUCUAAGCAAGACUUAACAUUAUGCAUCAUUAGGCAAUAAAACUCUUUUCAUAUGUUUAAAAAACCACCAUGUACACUUACUAAUGCAAGAGUGAAAUACAUGGAUUUAGAGAUAUUUAAAGAGGGGAAGAGAUACAUGCCACAAGCAAGAUGAUACUCCAAAAAUCUUGGCUCUUUUUUGCCACUAGAUGAGGUCCCUCCAAACCCUAACCUCCAAUGUUUCUUCAAGAAGCUUUUAGAGUGUUGGAGUGUUUGAGUCUUGUAAUUGAGGGCUUAAGAGGCUUAAAUUCCUUAUAUAGUGAGAGGGCUUAGGGUUUUAGGCAAGGUAAAUGACCACAAGGACCUUAGUUAAAAUCUGAAAAGUGUCCUCGUCCAGGGGUACGACUCCCUCAUACGACUCCCUUAGCAAUCGUACCCUAGGGUACGAGUAGUACCCUCUAUCGUACCCUAGGAUUCUCCUUGGUCAACAUACUAUUGUAGGUACAAGUGGGAACCCUUGAGUCAUAUCCCAAGGGUACGACUCACCCCUAACUCAUAAGCUUUACUUGUGAUAAAAAUAGUCCAAUUUGUUUGAGGCUCCCCUCUAUACGGUUGAGUAGUAAACGACUCGUAUACAUUGGUUACAACUAAGGGAAGGUUAUGUCAUAUAGGAAACAGUAUGAUACCCUUAUAGACUAAUCAAGGUACAAAAGGCGAGGACAAGGCAGGUACAAGUCAUGACCAAGGGUAAGACUCAAGCCUCCUAGUCGUACCCAACUCAGAGGCACCAAAAUGAAGUUGUUUUUAAAUCAUUCAAGCCUAGGUGUUUCAAUUCUCCCCCACUUGAAUCAUUUGUCCGCGAAUGAAUGGUAAGGAAAGUAUAAACAUAAAUUAACACAUAAACAUGCAUCAAACUGACAUAAGUUAGAAAUAAGAACACAAUAAGGAUACAACACAACACAUUUCAUGAUCAUCAUUAAUCCACCAUUUCAUAUCAUUGGUCUUGGGACUCAAACAGACUACUUAUCAAUCACUUACUCAUUUCAUAACUUAGGGACUUCAACCCAACACCUAUCAAAGACAUGAAUAAAUUCAAUGCACUACGGACUUAAACCCAUCAAAAUAAGACACACAUAGUUUCAAGCAUUAGGGACUCAAACCCAUAGUAUAACGAGGCACAAAUCAAUUCAAACUUCGGGACUUUAGCCCCUUAUGUAACAAGGCAUAACUCAAUUUCAAGCAUUAAGGACAUCAACACAUUGUCUAUCAAAGACAUAAAUCAAGCAAAGAGAUCUUACACAUACCUCCAUCACAAGCUUUCGUAAUGGGAAAUAAAUGUGGGAACUUUGACUUUAUAUCCUCUUUCACCUCCCAAGUAGCUUUCUCAGACUUUCGGUUCCUCCAUAGAACCUUCAAUGAAGCGACCUCUUUCAUUUGGAACCAGCAAACUUGACAAUCUAAGAUCUUCACUGGGACCUCCUCAUAGGACGAAGAGUCUGAGAUACCAACAUCUUCUGAGGGAACAACCAAUGAAGGGUCACCCACACAUUUCUUCAAUAUGGAAACAUGGAAAACUGGGUGAAUGGAGUCCAUACUAGAUGGUCUCAACAUAGAGGGGACUAAGCUUCCCUUUUUUGCCAAACUGUAUCACUCCUUUCAUGGGAGAUACUUUCAAGAAUACCCAGUUGCCUACAUUAAAUUCUAAGUCCCUACGCCUCACAUCUGCAUAGGACUUUUGGAGGCUUUGAGCGGUUUUCAAUCUAUCAUGAAUCACCUUCACAUUCUCUAAGGCUUGGUGAACUAAAUAGGGGCCUAACAACUUACCCUCGCCAACUUUGUACCACCAAAUAAGAGAUUGACAUCUCUGAUCAUACAAUGCCUCAAAAGGUUCCAUGCCAAUACUAGAGUGGUAACUAUUAUUAUAGGUUAACUCAAUCAAAGGCAAGUGGUCAUAACAACUACCAACACAAUCAAUCACACAAGCUCGCAACAAUUCCUCCAAUGUUUGGAUAGUUCUCUCUGCUUUCCCAUCCGUUUGUGGGUGGAAUGUGAUACUAAGGCACACCUUAGUUCCCAAAUCUCUUUUGAAUGACUUCCAAAAGUGGGAUGAAAAUAAAGGACCACAAUCCGAGAUAAUAGACAAUGGAGCACCGUGAAACUUCAUGAUCUCAGCAAGAUAUAACUUAGCAUAAUCUUCAGUUGAGAAAUUAGUUCUCAUGGAUAAGAAAUGGGCGGACUUGGUCAUUCUAUCAGUAAUAACCCAAAUGGAAUCACAUUAUUUUUUAGAUCUAGGGAGACUGGUAAUGAAAUCCAUAUUAAUUGCCUCCCACUUCCACUUGGGCAACACAACUUCUUGGUACAAACCACUGGGCCUCAUGUGCUCAACUUUCACUGGUUGACUCACCAUACACUUGGCCAUGUAGUUAGCCAUAUUUUAUUUCAUAUUACUCUACCAAUAGAACUGUCUAAGGUCAUGAUACAUCUUUGUGGAACCGGGAUGAAUAGCAUAGCGGGCUCCAUGAGCCUCCACCAUGACCCUUUCCCUCAAUCCAUCGACGUCGGGAACACAUAGCCUACCUUGGCACCUCAAGAUGCCAUAACUACCAAUCAGAAAGUCUACAACUUUAUAUUGACCCACAUUACUCUUUAUCUUCAUAAAGUAGGGGUCCAAUACUUGCGUCUCUUUUAUCUCAAAAAAAGAGAUGAUUGAGAUACCUGAUGCAAAAACAUACCACCAUUCUCAAAGUUCACUAGUAGAACGCUAAGAUUUUGCAAAUGGUGAAUGUCCUUCACCAAUUCCUGCCUGCCCUCAUCUGUAUGGUCCAAACUUCCUAUGGACACACGACUAAGAGCAUUGCCGACUACAUGUGCCUUACCGGGAUGGUAAUGAAGACUCACCAGAGAUUCAACUCCUUUUGAUUAAACACAUAUUGAAGGCUCUUAUGGUCAGAAAAGAUAUCAAUGUGGACACUAUAAAUAUAAUGCCGCCAAAUAUUCAAAGAAAAGACCAUGACUAAUAACUCUAAGUCAUAGGUGGGGUAGUUCUUUUCAUGAACUUUUAAUUGCGUAGAAGCAUAGGACACCACCCUACCAUUUUGCAUCAACACGUAACCAAGACCCAUACGAUAAGCAUCACAAUAAACCACAAAACCAUUACUACCCUUGGGUAAGGUCAAAACCAAAGCCAAAGUCAAUUUAUCUUUCAACUUCUCAAAACUUCCCUCACACAUAUCGGCCCACAAGAACUUGACCUUCUUUUGGGUCAACUUGGUCAAAGGGGAAGCUAUCAUGGAAAAAAUCUCCACAAACAUUCUAUAAUAAUUGGCUAGACCUAAGAAACUCAGAAUAUUGGUUGGAUUCGUAGGUCUAGGCCACUUCUUAACUGUCGCAACCUUUCGGGGAUCUACCAUAAUCCCUUCACUAGAGAUGACAUGACCAAGAAAAGCUACGGCUUUUAACCAAAACUCACACUUAUAGAAAUUGGCAUACAAAUGGUGAUCCUUCAAGGUUUACAACAUCGCACGGGGGUGAGCUACAUGAUCCACCUCACCCUUAGAGUACACUAAGAUAUCAUGGAUAAAGUAAAUGACAAAUAUAUCUAAGAAUAGAUAGAAGACCCUAUUCAUUAAAUCUAUGAAUGCCGUCGGGGCAUUGGUCAACCCAAAAGACAUAACAAGAAACUCAUUGUGACUAUAUCAGGUUUUAAUGGCCAUCUAGGGAUAUCCGUAUCCCUGAUCUUAAGCUGAUGAUAACCCAAUCUAAGAUCAAUCUUAGAGAAACACUUCGCACCCUGAAGCUGAUCAAAAAAAUCAUUGAUCCUAGGAAGAGGAUAUCUAUUCUUUAUGAUCACUUUUUUCAACUAACGAUAAUCUAUGCACAUACGAAGGGAACCAUCCUUCUUGUGCAUGAACAACACGGGAGCACCCCAUGGAGACAAACUAGGAAGGAUAAAACCUUUAUCUAAGAUGUCUUUCAAUUGCUCCUUAAGCUCUUUUAACUCUACUAGAGCCAUUCUAUAAGGAGGUAGGAAAUCGAACGAGUGUCUGAAACAAGAUCAAUCUCUAAACUGAUUUCUCUAUUGGGAGAAACACCAAGAAGAUCAUUGGGAAACACCUCAGAAAACUCAUUCACCACAUUAAGGAUUCUAGGGAAGGCUCUUUCGAGUUAGAAUCUUUAACUCAGACUAAAUGAUACAAACACCCCUUUACAAUCAACUUUUUACCUAUAAGAUAAGAAAUGAAUCUUCCAUUAGGAACUAGAGAACCACCUUCCCAUACAAUUACUGACUUAUUAGGGAAUUUGAAGAUGACCCUACGGGUCUGACAAUCUAAGGAAUCAACCAAGAAUGCAACCAAUCCAUCCCCAAAAGACAUCAAAUUCAACUAUGUCCAACUGUAUCAAGUCUUCAAGAGUAUCUUUAUAACCAAUAGACAUUACACACCACUUAUAAGCUCUUCUAACAAUCACAGAGUCUCUAACAGGAGUAGAAAUAGAAAAAAGAACCGAUAGAAUCUCGAGACCAUAAUCAAGAUUCAUAGCCACAUACAGGGUCAUAUAAGAAAGAGUAGACCCUAUAUCAAGCAAACAAUAUACGUCAUGGAAGAAAAAUCACAACAUACCCGUGACAACAUUAUGAGACGCCUCAGAAUCUUGGCGAGUAACAAGUGCAUACAAGUGGUUCCGGACAACACUGGCACCAAAAACAUAAGCAGAGACAGACAUAGCAUUUUUUGGUAUGGAAGGACGUGGAGUAGCAAUAGGGGCCUUGUUGGCCCAAGAAGCUGCUAGAGAGAGGAACUUACACUGCAUGCUCCCAACCUAACUAUAAUGAAAACACCUGUUUCUUCAUUUCUUACACUAAUCGUGAUCACUCUUACCAUAGAAUCUACAAGAAGGGAUGGGUAGAGCCGACUAAGCAUCACUAGACUAAAAUUGGGCACUUGGUGCCCAAAAUCCGCCACUAAAAUGAGAUCGACGAUCACCGGAUGACUUCAGGUAAGGAGACCAAAUAUUAGAUGAGGAGAAAGAAUCCAAGCUCCCCUACUUCUUUCAUGGCCACUUGCCACUAUCUCUACCAUAACUCUCAGAAGGCCUAAAUAUUUUGACCUGCCUCUCACUAGGCUCAACUUGCUUCUUUUUCUCUUUCUCUACUUAUUUCAAAUACAUAAUAAACCUAGAAAUAUCUAUGUUCUUAAUCAACAAGGUUGCUUCGCUCUCAAGAACUAACUUACGGGAUAAUCCCGAGACAAACUUACGCAUAGCCCUUAUGCUAGAAACCAUCUCGGGAACAUACCUUGACAAUUGAUGAAAUUUCAAGACAUACUCUUGAAAGAACAUCCUCCAUUGCAUUAAUUUCACAAACUCUUCCACCUUUGUUUCCCUUAACUCUUGAGGAAAGAAGCAGUCUAAGAAAGCCUCUGAGAAAUCCACCCAAGAAGCCGGACUAGUAUCAACACCUCUAGAAAACUCCCACCCUUUGUACCAUUGGUACGCUACAUCUUUCAAUUGUUAUAAAGCAAGCUCAACACCCUUAAUUUCUGAAGCUUGCAUGAUUUGGAAAAUUUUCUCUAUUUCAUCGAUGAAGCCUUAAGGAUCUUACUCAACAUUCGCACCUGUGAACAUAGGAGGGAUCAACUUUAUAAAUUGGCUAAUUCUUGUGGCCUCAGAAUAAAUAAUAGCCGGAGCACCACACUCUGAUUAAGAGGACACUAAUUGAGCCAAGAGGUUGAUAGAGUAAUGAAUCUUUACAUUAGAAGCAUUUCCUUAAGGGGAUUGAGGAGGAGCAUCAUUCUCAUAAGCAGGGUUGGUGGGUGAAACCACAUGAGGAUGGCUAGAUACUGCAUCCUUAGCCCAGGUCUGAACACCAAAAGUUGGACGAACUUUGUCCAUAGGACCCUCAGUUGGGGCCAAAGUGUUUGCCUGAGUCUCAGAUCUCCUUGGAGGCAUGAUCUGAAAAAAGGCCAACAAAAUUAGAGGAAUUCAAGACCUUAGACAUUAUAGCCUAAGAUUGAAACAUAAGAAAAAGAAACAUUCCUAAGAUGUCUCAUAGCAUAUCUUUUACAAGUUUGGUGCGCUAAAUACCUAUAAAAGAGACUGUACUUGACAUGACAUUGUGAAAAACCAACUGACCAACUAGGCUCUGAUACCAACUUAAUACGAUCUAAACCCUAGGCCAUGUUAUAUGGGCACACCAACCUCACAUGAACCAGAGGUCUCCCUAAUAACCUAACCCAUGCAUCUCAUUAUACAAUAGGAUUUGAAGGAACUCUAACUCACAAGUUACGAUUGCAAAAAUAAAAUCAUAAGUCAACAUUAGAUUCAUGAUAACUAACUCGCACCGAAGUUAAUAGUUGUUUAUAAUACCUAUAUGGAAAAACAAAGUCAAUAAAUGCAUAUGACGAGACAAUCCCCCCACAAUAGCCAAAACAACUCUUAAAAAGACAAACCCUAAAGAUAAGAGACCAAGAGGUGCAUGUCUUUCGAAGUAAAUAAGCUCUCAAUUUCAAGUCAAUGCACGUGCUGCUUGAAUCUACUAAUCACUGCGUAUGAAGAGAAGAAGAUACUUUGACCCCUAUGUCGCAUUGGGAUAUAACAUCCAGAGAUGGUUAGCGGUUGGAAUGCUAACAUAUAGCUAGAGGAUAAGUGAUAAAAUAUCAUCAUCAAUAAACAUCAAGUCAAUAUAUCAUAUUUUAUCUCAUUCACACACUAAUAUAUACAUAUAGAUAUAUCACAUGCUAAUCAAGAUAUCAAGGCUCAUUAGUUUUCUCAAACAUUCAUUCAUUAGACAUGAAGUAGGGGACUCCAACCCUCCACACUUAUAGGUUCAACAAUUCAUAGUAUGCAUAGUACUUUAACCACCUUCACAUGCACUUAGACAAGGUACUUCAACCAUGAUUACUCAUUUUUUAGCCAAGGAUUUUAACCGCAUAUGCAAUCACUCAAAUAAUGGGCUCUAGCCAUACACACAUCCAAUUGGACAUAGGACUUUAACUAUAUGUACACAUAUUCAAUUAAGCAUGGGACUUAUACCUCUAUCUCACACAUUAGGAAAGGGACUUUAACCUCAUUCUACACUUGGACUCUAACCAUAAGUUGUUCCAUUUGGUGAGGUUCUAUAACCUCAAGAGAUCAUUUUAAGAAAGAAACUUUAACCUUAAGAAAUAUCAUUGGGCAAGGGAAUUCAACCUCAAGCUAUUCAUAAGGCAAAGGACGUCAACCUCAAGCCAUCAUAUAAGGCAAUGGACAUUGACCUCAAGAAAUCACGACUAUCAUUAGUUGGAAUUUAAGACUUUAACCCUUUUCCUAUGCAUCAACAUACAUUCAAUUGAACAUUUAAGGAUUUUAACCAUUUGAGCCAAUUCAAGACUAUGCAUGACUACAUGGUCCAUAUGGGAGCCUUCAUUGCUUAACUACCUCAAUAGGUCAAUGCCUUCACUUAAUUAAACAUACAAAGAAAGUUAUAGUCAUUAAAACCUUUACCACAAUUCUAUACCACAUUCUUACCACACUUGGGUGCAACCUAUAAUUUAAGUUCAUCUUUAUAUCUAAGGACUUUACCCUUUCAUUAUCAAACAACCAAGGUUACAAAUUUCAUCACACAUUAUUCAUAAUUCCUUUAACACAUUAUGUAUCAUUCAUCCAUAUUGAUUGGGCCAUUGACCUAGUUUAAUACAUCAUCAACAUAUGACUAGACAACUCACUUAGAUAUUUUCACAAACACGUUGGAUACAUACCUUUAACAAGGCCAUUGCUAUGGUAUAUAUUAUAAAGAUUAGGGUUACUCAAGACCCUUAUGUUAAUCCACAUACAAAAAGCACCCAGACAUAUAGUUCAUCAUCAAUAUCACCUAUAAAUAUAAGUCUAAGAAAGAUUUAACAUCAUACAUCAUUAGUCAAGAAAAUAAUUUUUAUUUGGUUUCAAAACCACCAUGUACACUUAAUAAUCCAAGAGUUUGGAGAUAUUUAAAGAGGGGAGAAGAUAUAUGCCUUAAAGAAGAUGAAACACCAAAAAUCUUGGCUAUUUUUUGCCACUAGAUGAGCUCCCUCCAAAACCGAGCCUCUAACCUUGCUUCAAGAAGCUUUCAGAGUGUUUUAGAGUAUUUGAGUCUUGUAAAUGGCGGGUUAGAAGGCAAUAAUGCCUUACAUAGUUAAAGGAAAAAGGAUUUUAGGCAAGAAAAAUGACCACAAUUUCUUUAUUUAAAAUAUUAAAAGUGUCCUCAUCCAGGGGUACGACUCCCCCAUACGACUCCCAUAGAAAUCAUACCCUAGGGUACAAGUGGUACCCUAAAUCAAACCCUAGGCUUUUCCUAGGUCAACCAUACUAUUUUGGGUACAAGUGGGCACUCUUGAGUCAUAUCCAAAGGGUAUGACUUACCCUUAACUCGGAAGCUUCACUCAUAACAAAAAUUAUGCACUUGGUUUGAGGCUCCCGUCUCUACAGUUAAGUAGUAUAUGACUUGUAUGCAUUAGCUAUGACAAAAGAGAGGUCAUGUCGUAUAGGAAAUAGUAUGAUACUCUCAUUCACUAAUCAAGGUACGAAAUAGGAGGGCAAUGUAGGUAUUAGUUGUGACCAAGGGUGCAACUCAAGUCUCUUAGUCGUACCUAACUUAGGGGCACAAAAAUAAAGUUGUAUUUCAAUGAUUCAAGACUAUGUUUUUCAAUGUUGAACUAGACUGAACCCAUAUAAGAAUUGUACAGCUACGGGAAGAUCCCAUGGUUGUGGGUUCAAUUAUCUAAGUAAUGUGGAUGGAAGUCUCACGAGUUACACAAUUGGGAGUUAUGCUAUGAUGGGUUAUAGAGAUUGUACUUAGCUGUCAAGAUCAUGGUACACAUUGUCUGAUGAAACUCUUGUAGGCCAUCAAUAUAGGCAUCGAACCUAUGAGUUUAUGGAAUGAUCAUUAUUAGGUAUAACAAUCGUUUUUAAGCUUCUUAGGUUCUAAGGUAUGUUUUCUUAAAUAGCCAUAGUACAAGAGACAAUUACAAUCUGGUUCAUUACCAUGAUCAUAUAGUCAAGUCUUCUAUUAUGUCUUUUUGUUAAAUGAAAUUGAAACCCGACCUAAUCCAACUCAAUACUAAACCCUAAAAUCCUAUAACUAAGAUACAAUUCAUUAAAACUCAAAUUGGAUCAAUUACAAUCAAGAGAGUAAAAUUAAAGAAAUUCAACCUCUAAUUUAUUUAUAUUAAGUGAUUCAACCUCUUUGUUCAUCAAGUACUCCACAAAUUAACAAAAAAUCAGUAAGUAAAACUAUAUUUUUUUAUUUUUAAUGUCAAAUCAUAGAAAAUAAGUUUAGAUCAAGUUUGUAAUGUAUAAGAAAAUUAUAGAUUGAGUUUAGAAUGAGUAAGACCGAUUGAGAAGUCUUGAGUACCUAAGCAUUCGGUUAAAUUUAUGGCCAAUGAAGGUUAAAAGAGGGCCAAAAUCUUAUGUUAAAAUCUGGUUAAGUGUUAGUAUACUCCAUGACACAACCUACGAUCGUGGUACCUAUAUAUGAUCAUAGGUUGAGUUAUUAUGGGUCCUAGUUCAAAUCUAGUAAGUGCUCAUUAUAUGAGCACAUCCCAUAAUCACCCUAUCUAGGUACGAUUAUGUUAUAUACUCAUCUAAUAAGACAUACCCUUAUUACUUUAGUGAUGAUCCUAUGAUCAAAAGGUAUAAUCGUACCUUUAUUACAGGAUUAUAGGAUAGAGACGUCUGAGCACAUGUCUUUCCAGUGUUUUUAUAGAACCCUUCCUAUGAUCGAAAGGCACGAUCCUGCCCUCAUUGAAUAAUUGUAGGAAGGCUCUUCUGAUACAUUUACUAAACCUAUUUAAAUUUUCAAAAUUAAUACUAACUUUUUCCCAUACAUGUACAAUGGCAAAAAAGGCACAAACAAAGCUACAAAAGAAAAUAUCCAAGAUAAAUGAACCCAAUGACAUACCUCCAGUCUUGGAGAAUGAGUACAACAACUCAAGUGGAAUUGAGAUGGACUUUUCCCCAGUUCCAUAUAAGAAAAAUAAUUCCCUCAAAUCACGAGGGAUAAGGUAAAAAAGAUAUACCAAGCCAAGUUCAUAUAUAUAUGUCCGUGGUUGAGGCCACAACCCCAAUAAACCCACCAGUCUGAAGAGAGAAGGAACUAAGGUUGUAAGAGGAUUCUGAAAAAGAGAGUUUAUCAAAGAAAGAGAAGGAUAUGUCCAACCCCAAAUCCUCCGAGGGUGCUAUUACUAUACUUUAAAGGGGAAUGGAUUUGAUAUGUUGGAUAGUCCCAAAAGUAUAGGGACUAUUACAAUGAUGGGGUCUCAGUGAUAGAUCAGGGAACAAGAAAAAGAAUAUUUAAGAAGAACCCUAGAUACUGCUAGAGUCCCUCUAGAAUAUUCCAGCCUUAGUUCAAGUAUUUGAGAAGUAUGAGCGGGGUUAAUGACAAGAUCCCUAUAGAAUUAUGAGUCGAAGUUGGUGUGUAAGUUGUAAACCAACUAUAGGGCUAUGCUGGAUAAUAUGACUCCUUUGGGGAAGUAGAAAGACAUGAAAAAAUAUCCUAGACUCACUAUACUGGUCGGGGAAGGAGAACGACAUGAAAAAAUAGCCUAGACUCACUAUAUGAGUCUGGGAUACUAAGGUCGACAUCUCUAUCGAGCCAUCUCUAAAGCCUUGUUCAGAGACAUAUUUAAGCAUACUGAGUAGACCGUAGAGUAUAAAUUCUAGAUGAAUGAUUUAAAGCAAGUUAAAAUUCUAAAUAUGGAUGAUAAAGUGAUGCACUAUAUAUGGUUGGAGUGCCACAUUGCUGAAGUAGGUGACAAUGCCCUAUGGAUCAAUGGGACUGUAAUAUACAAGCAUAGUCUAAAGGAUACUACCUAUGUUUUGUGAUUAAUUUUCACACACCAAAUCACACCUACAACCAGUGAUAAUACAUUAGAUACAACCAAUGCCUAUCUAGUAGUUGCUUUUAUUUUGGGAGUAGAUUUGAACAUCCCAUGAAUCAUCAUAGAGGAGAUACGAGAUAGGGUACUCCAAUUUAGCACCACAUUACCAUUCAGCUUACUAAGGUGACUGACAUGGCGCUCAUAAAGGAUAUAAUUAACCUAAUUUCCCCAAUGAGAUGUCUUGAUAUUCUAGAUGUAGUUGGUGGUACGACAAGUAGUGACUUAUCGAUGUCCAAUAUCGGUACUGCUUUCUCUUCUGCACCACUGACAUUCGUUCAUAGUCAACCAUUAGUUUUGGCUAAAUAUAUAUUGAUUCUAACUUCACCAUUGGAAUAGAUCAUUUCGAUCCUAUUAACACAAUAUUAAGAUUAAUAAGUUAGAUGUUAGGGUUAAUCCCUAUGUUAGUGAUGAGAUUUGGGGUUAUUUAGGAUAGUACAAACCUAAGCAGAUAGGCUUGGGAGCCAAAUGCCGACUAGGAUAGAUGUAGUCUAGGCACUAAAUUUGACUGAUAUUAGGGUAGACCUAACCAAGCUUAAGAAAGUAAUUAGGGUAUUGACUGAGAGAAUUGAUGAUCCACCUCUUUUACCACCACAUAUGACUUCAUUCGUAUUUUCUAUGAUGGACGUGGACUCAUUGGUUCUUAAUGUUUAUACUUUUAAACCAAAUAAGAGGAGAUAGAUGUUGAGGUGAUGAGAAAACACUUGAAGCCUCGAAAGAGCAGGAGAGGUGUUAAGAUUGAUAAAGAGGAAAAACAGAAGUUGCAUAAGAAGCAAAAGAAGAAGAGAAAAAAGAUAAUACAACUGGGCAAACCUUUGAGGCAUUGAUACUAGAGAGGGAUGGGAUACCACCUACCACAGAGGUGGUUGCACAAACUAGAAAGGGUACGGAGUUUUUCACCAAAUUGAGUACCUUGUACUCCCACCGAUGCCAACUCAUUUGAGUGUACCACAACCAUAGACGAUGCCACUAGAUUGGAGUAGACUAUUAGGUAUCAACCUUUAUUCCCUCCUAAUCAGAGUUCUAUUGGUGCCAAAAGAACCACAGGAUUGUCCCUUACCCUAGCUUUUAGAUUUCAAUGAUUUCGUUCAGUGGGAACAUCGCAUAAUUUCCAAGUUAAAGGUGAAGGUGUAUCAUGAUAGAGGAUUUUUCUUGUUAUGUUUCUUUUCCUUCGUUGUGCUAUCUAUUUAGAACUAAUAUUUUAAAGUAUUUUUAUUAUUCUCUAUGUUGUUUUGUUAUUUUUUGUGUAACUUAGAGUAAUUUGAGAAAACAAGGAGUAGAAAAAAUAAAAAAGCAUGCAAACUUGUUCUGAAAUCUUAAAAAAAAUAUCUUUCCAAAAGUUCUAUUUUAUUUUGUAAGUGUUUUGUGUUUGCAUGAGUUGUAACCAAUGUUAGGAUCUAGAUAUGCCAUUAAGAUUGUUUUUAUGAUAAAUUGGAUGACCUUGCAUGAACUCUGUAGGAUGUAUCUUAGACGAACCUCUGAGCCAUGAGUAAGAUUUUUACCUAGUCGGCAUGUAUGUGUGAUCUGAAACUUGCUGGGUUAGUCUCUCAAAAGAUAUAGGAUAGGAAGUUGGGAAAGAAUCAUAGGUCAUGUUUGAAAAAGUUCAGUAUAUCUUAAAUAACAUAAAAAAUGAUCAUGUAUUCCUUGCACCCAAAUUUUGAGGCCUAAUAGACAUUUUCUUUGAACUAUCCAAUUCACCUUCCCAAUUUUUACAAUGAAUCUUCCAUAGCCCUAGUUCUUCCUUUGGAUACUGUGUACCUCAACUCAGUCGAAUCACCUAAGUUGAGGGUUUUUUUUAUGUAGGGGUAUGUAGAAAGUGGGCAUGGAGGAUUAGUAGUAAAAGAAAAAAGGAGUCGGGUGUGGUAUGAGAAAAAAAGAAUAAAGAAAAAUAAGUAAAAAACAUGUUUAUGUGUUUUUAUUGUUUUCUAUGUAAUUAAGUGUAAUUUGAGAAAACUUGAUACGUUCGAAAUAUAAAAAUGUGAACUUGUUUUGAAAGAUUAAAAAUGAUGCCCCUCCAAAAGUUUUGUUUUUUUGUUUUUAAGUGUUGUGUGUUUUCCUGUGUUGUAAAUAGGAUCUAGAUAUGACAUUAGGAUCAUUAGUGCGAUAACCUGACCAACCUUGCAUGAGCUCAGUAGGUAAUAACUUAGACAAAUUCCCUAAGCCAAGAGUGGGUAAGGUUUUUACCUAGUCGGAGUGUGUGUGCAAUCUAGAACUUGCCCAGUUAGUCUUCCCAAAUAUAUAGGUAGGAAGUUAGGAAAGUAUCAUAGACCAUGUUUGAAAAAAUUCACUAUACCUUAAAUGACCUACCAAAUGAUCAUGUAUCUCUUGGACCCAUAUUUUGAGCCUUAACAGUCCUUUUCUUUGUACCACCUAAUCCACCUUCCCAAUUCUUACAAUGAACCUUCUUUGUCCCUGGUCCUUUCUUAGAAAUUGUGUUCCCCAACUCAGAUAAAUCACUUAAGUUGAGGGGGCUAUUGUGUAGGGGUGCGUAGAAAGUUUAUAUGAAGGAUUAGUAGUAAAAAGGAAAAAGGAUUCGGGUGCAGAAUGAGAAAAGGAGAAAAAAAAUAGGGAGAAAAGAUAGAAAGAUAAAAGAAAAAAAUAGUGAAUUAUGAAAAUAAAACCGCACUCAAGGUCUAAACAGGAAAUGAAAAUAUGGAAAAGGGAGAAUAAUGCAUGAAAGUAGGAAAGUGGAGCCAUAAGUAGUGUAGUACCAAAGAGGAUUAAGUCACUAUACCCAAAUGCGCCACACCUAUUUACAAGCCUAUUUACAAGCCUAGAAAAGACCUAUAGUGAUCCUAACUCGACUGUUCAAAAGCUGAAGCAUAGAAAAUAAGGGCAAGCCUAUGUUAUCAAACACACACAACAUGACUUUUUUUGUGAGGGUGAGAGAUUUAAUUCAGUUCCAGUUAAUAAAUUCAUCACAUCAACUGAGUGAUUAGGGUACUUUUUUGAUAUGAGGGCGUAAGGGUUAUAGUCUAGGUGCUGCUUAGUUAGGUAGUGUAUUGGUCUAUGUGUUAGGUUAUCUAUUCAUAAAGGUGAAGGGUGUUGAAAAUGUUUAUGUUGUUUGUAUGCAUGAAAAUUGUCUUUAUACAAGUAACUACCAUAGUGAUCUUGAUUUGCUGUAAGUUAAGCGUCAUAGUUAGUCUAGUUUAUUUUUUGCCUAAAAACAUGCAAAUAUUCUAAGUUGAGAGGUUUUAUGUGUCUUGGAUUUUCUGCAUUUAAGAUACUUAAAACUGUGAAUAUUUACAAGCAUGAGAAAUGGUGGAUUUUUGCAUGAUUGUAGGAUAAAUAGACUCGUAGAAAUAAAGUGCUAAAAGUUUAGCUUAAGGAGCAUCAGAUGAUCAAAUCCAUGAUUAUGGGAUCUGACCAUGGUCAUAACAAGCAUGUCGUAUAAGGAAUCAUAAGAUGGUUUUAAGAGAUCAUAGGAAGAUUUUUCAAAAUCCAUCUAUAGAAGUUAACUGAAGAGGAUCAAAUGGUAGCAUCAUAUGAUCAUACAUUGAAGUAAUGAUCGUAGCAUAAGGUUGUGGGUAGGAAGUCCAGAAUUGCAAGACCUAGAGGUUGAGGUAAAAGAUGAUCAAACAAUAAUAUAGAACCAUCAUAGGUUGAUACCAACCUUACUGAGAACCAUACCAGUGAAGAUUUGAAGAUGAAAAUCCAUGAUCCAAAUCAUGAGUAUCAAAGGAUGGAUCAUGGGUUCUAACCACGAUCGUACCUUCUUGUCGUUCGAGGCCACCAACCCAAAUAUCAUAUUUUGUUUAGGAUAAGAGUUAUUUUGUUUAUAAAUACUCUUAUAGGGUUAUUUUUAUGAUUUAUACUAUUUUAUAUGUGUUUACACUAUUUUAUAUUUUACAAUAUUAUAUUGUGAGAUUAUAAGGCAUGCUUUCUGAAUUUUAUGAACAUUGUUUCUAGGGUUUUGAUUCAAGUUGAGAUUUUGGAGUUUUAUUCUUAUUGUAAAUUCACAAUAAUGUUUUCAUUAAUGAAUUCUUCUUGUGUUCUUGAAAUCAUGAGUAUCUAACAAUCAUAAUUAGGGUUGUGGGAACCAUGAUGAAUUAACAAGAUAAGUUACGUGUGGCGCAAUUCUAAACUGGUGUCCUUGCAUGUAUCUGUAUUUCCUUCAUUAUGAUUAAUCGUCUAAUGGAUGCAAACAUUUGAAAAUUUCCUGUAUUCUAAACUUUCUUAGAGAGAGCUAGAUAUGAGAAAAACCAAAUAACAAUAGAUCUUUGAAGCUACCAACCUUUAUCUAAUAACUUGAGCCAUGACAAAGAUAGUUAAUCGAAGAUCAAGAAUAUCUUAGUAGCAAGACACUUAGAGUCUGACAUGAGCAGAGUAAAAUUCAUCUAACCAACGUAAAUAGAUGUUUAGAUGAUCUUAUAUUGUCAAAUUUUGCAUGCAACACAUCGGAAUAGUUUGCUAGCAUGAGAAACCCGUGUAGCUAUUAAGUCAUAGGGAACAAAAUCAUAGUACUUUAUCAUAUUGAUUACAACUCCAGUAAUCAAUAAUUGUUAUUAUUGCUCUUUUGUUUCACAAAAUUCUUCCUUCUUUUACUUAUUCGUCAGUUACCUAGACAAAAACAUGAUUGAAUUUCGUCCUAUUCUCUAUGGGUUUGAUUCCAACCUUGUUGGAUUCUAUUUUUGAUUAAAAUACCAUUUUAUACUUUUUAGGAGGUGUUAUUUGAACAACAUCAAGCUACAACCAUACAAAAAGAGAUCGAGGAUGAAAAACUGUAAUCACAGAGAAGGAAAAAUAAAGAAACACAACAAACUAUCAAUAACCAACACCAUAAGCAAAUCAAUAAUGUUUGUGCUUAUUAAUCCAAAAAUCAAAAUAAUAAAUUCAUUUUGAGAUCCACCAAAAUCUACUUAGAUAGGAAUAAAUAAAAAAAUUCUAUUAUUCUUCUUCAUUCAAAAAAUAAAGAAAUUCUAUUCUUCUAGGAAAAAAAUUGUUGGUUCUUAUUUUAUUUUUUUCAAAUGUACUACUCUACAAUAAAAGUCGAAAGUUUUAAAUUUUUUAGCUAGCAUCUCUGUUAUCACCUUAAAUUUGCAGAUCCAAUUAUGAAAUUUCUUAUAAUACAAAACAAAAUUCUAUAGAUCUUAUAACACAAUCUUCUCAAGUUAGAAACACAACAAUCAUAUUAGAUCUUCUUUCAUUAGAAUUUUGGAAGUUGGAGAGAAACCCAAACAUAAUAUAAAAUGCAUAACCUAAAAAUCAUAAUAUGGUAUAAUUUUUUUUGAUAAAUAAACAUACCACAUAGAAGGUCGAGAAUUUCAAGAGAGAUACCACAUAGAAGAGGCGCAGAUGCUCUUUCCUGUAUAUGCACAUGCAUUGAAAAGAAAAGAAAAAGAGAUGGAGACAUAAAACUUCAAAGGAUAAAUCUGAAUGUUAUGUGUCAAUUGAAUAACAAAUGUAAGACACGCAGGGUAAAAUAAUAUGUAAAGCAAUAAAUGUUAAAUUACCAAAACACUCUUGUUCUAAAAUUAAUUGGCAAGUAGCACAUAUGUUAAAACCACUCUUUAUAUAUGUUUUUAACAAAUUUUAAAGUGAUAAAAAAGAGAUUGUAAUCACAAAUAAGAUAUGAUUAAACAAGAUUUUGCUGAUGAAUAUUUGUGAGUACAGUUUUCUUUCUCCUUUGACUCUUCUAACUAAAUUUUCUUCAUGAUUCAAUAAUUCACGAGCUUUUAGAAGUAGCAUAUUUCUCAAAUGUAGGAUGAGUUGGACCUUCUUGUGAUGUAUUUAAUUUUUAGGAUUGUUAGACAGUUACUUUCAUAAAAAUGAUAUUUGACAUGAUGAUCUCUUUAUGAAUAUCCCAAAGAACUUAUAGGAUCGCAAGAUGCCUGAGAACAUAUGUUACUAUUUUACUAGAUGUGAUUUAGGAUUUAGGACAGAUUAGCCUCCUAGAAACCUAAUAGAAUUGGACAACAAAAUUUCAAUGCCUACAAAUAUUCCCUUACCCUUCUUCAAGGCUCAUCGGAGCGUAAACUCAUGAAACUCAAAGAAAAAUGAUGCUUUCAUCUUCGCAUUUUUGUUGCUUCAGAUUUGCAGAUCUAAUUUGUGAGAGAGGAGAUGAAUGUCAGAUUUGAUUCCACUAGCGUGUUAAUUUGAUGCCGCA